AGCAGAGUAUUCAACUUAAAAAUUCAACCAAAGAAAUGGGCUCCGACUCUGAGCAAUGCCAAAUUGACGAAUUAAUGGAAAUGAAAAAAUUGAUAGGAGAUAAACUUGUUGAAGUAACAAAAGAGAAGUCAGAGUUAGCAUCAGAAGUAACUGAAGCUAAAUAUAAAAUAAUUGAGUUGACAGAACAGAUCUCUAAUCUUACCAUUGAGGUAUCAAGAUUGAAAGAGGAAAAGAAAAAAAUUUUUGAGGAAAGAAAUAGAUUAACAGAGGACAGAGACAGGAUAGCUAGUGAAAGAAAUAAAUUAGCUAGGAAACUUAGGAAAAUAAGUAAAGGAUCAGAAGCAGAUGAGUCAGAAGAUGAAGAAAAGCAAAUCCUCAUAACUCAAGUUAAUGCUUACAGUAGAGAAUGUGACAAACUAAAGGGGCAAGUCGGGUAACUACAAACUCAGGUGACAGAGCACAGGCAAUCUCUUGCUAGUGUAAAGGAUCAACUACAAACUGCUCAUAAGCAACGUCACGAAGAGGUCACAAGACUCACUGAACGUAUUGAUGAACUUGAAAGACAGUUGAAAGUGACUAAAGAAGAAUAUAAUGAGGAAACAGACCGCCUGCGCAAGAAACGUAGAAAUGAAAAAGAGAAACGUCACGCUGAGAAUGUUGAACAUUGCAAUAUUAUUGAAUCAUUGUAUGGAGAGCUACAGUGACAACGGGCCCAUAAGAAAGUUCCCAGGCUAGAGCCAAGUAUAAAUCUUAUACCGGUACCAGAAAGAUAUGAAGAAAAUAUUGAUCAAAUAUUACGUGAAGUGGAUGAAUUUAGGAGAGCUAGAAAUGAACAUCUCUCUGAUAGUACAAGUGCUCUUUGAUAGCACUAAUGCUGAUAUAUAAGUAACUUCAAGAAGAUCUUUGUGCUCCAACAACACAAAAAUUUUUCUCUGAUGGUAUUAAACCAUAUGAUCUUGUGGGUGAAAUA